rfam:Botryotinia fuckeliana BcDW1 unplaced genomic scaffold Scaffold_80, whole genome shotgun sequence.
GGACAGAUGGCCGAGUGGUUAUGGCGUGUGACUCAAGCUCAACGGCUUAGUUGAUUCAAUCAAUUAGCAUUCUCAUGGGCUUAGCCCGCGGGGGUUCGAAUCCCCCUCUGUUCA